CAGCAGCCGCGGUAAUACCGGCGGCCCGAGUGGCGGUCACUCUUAUUUGGCUUAAAGCGUCCGUAGCCGGGUUGGGAAGGCCUCCGGGAAAUCUGGCCGCUUAACGGUCAGAAUGCCGGAGGAUACUCCCAGCCUAGGGAGCGGGAGAGGCCGAGGGUAUUCCCGGAGUAGGGGUGAAAUCCUAUAAUCCCGGGAGGACCACCUGUGGCGAAGGCGCUCGGCUGGAACGCGUCCGACGGUGAGGGACGAAGGCCAGGGGAGCAAACCGGAUUAGAUACCCGGGUAGUCCUGGCUGUAAACGAUGCGGACUUUGUGUCGGACAAGCUAUGAGCUUGUCCGGUGCCGGAGGGAAACCGUUAAGUCCGCCGCCUGGGGAGUACGGCCGCAAGGCUGAAACUUAAAGGAAUUGGCGGG
rnacentral:rRNA from 1 species